AUUGAACGCUGGCGGCACGCCUAAUACAUGCAAGUCGAGCGAGAAGACGUAGCAAUACGUUUGUAAAGCGGCGAACGGGUGAGGAAUACAUGGGUAACCUACCCUCGAGUGGGGAAUAACUAGCCGAAAGGUUAGCUAAUACCGCGUACGCUCCUUGGACUUCGGUUCAGGGAGGAAAGCGAUACCGUGGGUAUCGCGCUCUUGGAUGGGCUCAUGUCCUAUCAGCUUGUUGGGAGGUAACGGCUCACCAAGGCUUCGACGGGUAGCUGGUCUGAGAGGACGAUCAGCCACACUGGCACUGCGACACGGGCCAGACUCCUACGGGAGGCAGCAGUAAGGAAUAUUGCGCAAUGGGCGAAAGCCUGACGCAGCGACGCCGCGUGGGGGAUGAAGGUCUUCGGAUUGUAAACCCC
rnacentral:rRNA from 1 species